rnacentral:rRNA from 1 species
UACAGAGGUCCCAAGCGUUGUUCGGAUUCACUGGGCGUAAAGGGUGCGUAGGCGGCUUGGCAAGUCGGGUGUGAAAACUCCAGGCUCAACCUGGAGACGCCACCCGAUACUGCCAUGGCUUGAGUCCGGUAGGGGACCACGGAAUUCCUGGUGUAGCGGUGAAAUGCGCAGAUAUCAGGAGGAACACCGGUGGCGAAGGCGGUGGUCUGGGCCGGUACUGACGCUGAGGAGCGAAAGCGUGGGGAGCGAACAGG